UUCCCCAAGCCGGGGCGCCCAGGCCAGGGCCGAGCGCGGGGCUGCCAGCUUGGGCCUCGCCGUCUCCUCUUCCCCAGUCCCCAAAUGAGCGCUGUCCGGAGCUCGGAGGAAGGCGUAGCAGGCGAUCGCUCGCUCGCUCGCUCGCUCUCUCCCUCUCUCUCCCCCCCUCUCUUUCUCUCUCUCUCUCUCACUCUCUCCGCUUCCCUCCCCCCUUGGUGUUUCUUCCAGCUCAGCCUCCUUCUCAUACCAUCUCUACGUGCCCAGAGCUUCAAAUACAGUCCUCCCGUCACAAUCAGACGCCACAAAACUUCAACCAGCCGUUUCUCUGUCUAGAAGAGGUGGACAUACAGCCUGGAUGGGCCAGGAAACAAAGGUUCAGAGAGGUCAUAUCCCAAGUCCAAGGUCAUAUGUCCAGGACGUAUGAACAGCAGUGAUGUGAACACUUCACACUGAUCCAGGUCCCCAUGGAUGGCUGCGUGAUCCUCCACGUGCACAUAGUCACAAAGCGACAUGCAAAUUGCAGCCACGCAGACAGCCCACACAGACCCCCGAGCAUGCGGGUGUGCGGGAGCCCGCAGCACUUGCGAAGGGGGGAUUGUUCAGGCACCUGCCCUACACGUGGCUUUCCUCCCGCAAACAGACCUCACUGUGGGACUUUGUCCAGAUCGUAGCCGUAACUCAGAUUCAGUCUUUCAAUGGUGGCAUCAUGUUUCCCACCGAGGAAGUACUAUCAAUUCUUUAUUGAGUCUCCCAUUGACCCGUGUUUCACUUUAUUUCCUUGUUUUUACCCCCCGUGACAGUGCCACAGUGAGCUCCCUCAUACACACAUCCUUCCAGCUGGAGCUUUUAUUUUCGUGACACAGAUUUCCAGAAGUGGGGUUGUUCAAUUGAAGGAAACAUGCUUUGUAAAAAUGUUUAUAAAAUGUAUUUGUUGGGCUG